rnacentral:rRNA from 1 species
UGCAUAUCAAAAAGCGGAGGAAAAGAAACCAACAGGGAUUGCCUUAGUAGCGGCGAGUGAAGCGGCAAAAGCUCAAAUUUGAAAUCUGGCUCUUUCAGAGUCCGAGUUGUAAUUUGAAGAAGGUAUCUUUGGGUCUGGCUCUUGUCUAUGUUUCUUGGAACAGAACGUCACAGAGGGUGAGAAUCCCGUGCGAUGAGAUGAUCCAGGCCUAUGUAAAGUUCCUUCGAAGAGUCGAGUUGUUUGGGAAUGCAGCUCUAAGUGGGUGGUAAAUUCCAUCUAAAGCUAAAUAUUGGCGAGAGACCGAUAGCGAACAAGUACAGUGAUGGAAAGAUGAAAAGAACUUUGAAAAGAGAGUGAAAAAGUACGUGAAAUUGUUGAAAGGGAAGGGCUUGAGAUCAGACUUGGUAUUUUGUAUGUUACUUCUUCGGGGGUGGCCUCUACAGUUUAUCGGGCCAGCAUCAGUUUGGGCGGUAGGAGAAUUGCGUUGGAAUGUGGCACGGCUUCGGUUGUGUGUUAUAGCCUUCGUCGAUACUGCCAGCCUAGACUGAGGACUGCGGUUUAUACCUAGGAUGUUGGCAUAAUGAUCUUAAGUCGCCCGUCUUGAAACACGGA